rnacentral:miRNA from 1 species
AAUACAAGAUGCCCAGUUAAAUUUGGAUUUCAGAUAAACAAUGAAUUUUUUUAAGGAUCAAUAUGUCUCAUGCAAUAUUUGGGACAUACUUAUACUAAAUAAAUUAUUUGUUGUUUAUCAGAAAUUCAAAUUAAUUUGGGCAUCCUUUAUUUU